AGAGUUUGAUCAUGGCUCAGGAUGAACGCUAGCUACAGGCUUAACACAUGCAAGUCGAGGGGCAGCGGGGAGUAGCAAUACUUCGCCGGCGACCGGCGCACGGGUGAGUAACACGUGUGCAACCAACCCCGUACCGGGAGAUAACCCGCGGAAACGUGGACUAACAUCCCAUAAGACUCUAGAGCCGCAUGGCUCUGGAUUUAAAAUUCCGGUGGUACGGGACGGGCACGCGCGACAUUAGGUAGUUGGCGGGGUAACGGCCCACCAAGCCGACGAUGUCUAGGGGUUCUGAGAGGAAGGUCCCCCACACUGGAACUGACGACACGGUCCAGACUCCGUACGGGAGGCA
rnacentral:rRNA from 1 species